rnacentral:rRNA from 1 species
UACGUAGGGUGCAAGCGUUGUCCGGAAUUAUUGGGCGUAAAGAGCUCGUAGGCGGUUUGUUGCGUCGGCUGUGAAAUCCCGAGGCUCAACCUCGGGCCUGCAGUCGAUACGGGCAGACUAGAGUGUUGCAGGGGAGACUGGAAUUCCUGGUGUAGCGGUGAAAUGCGCAGAUAUCAGGAGGAACACCGGUGGCGAAGGCGGGUCUCUGGGCAGUAACUGACGCUGAGAAGCGAAAGCGUGGGGAGCGAACAGG